rnacentral:sRNA from 1 species
AAAAGGAACGGCGUUGUCGUCGGCCCGAGUCGGUGAUUCGGCCAUGAGACAGUUGCGGCGGCUCUAGAAUUUGUCGUGCAUGUGCAUUACCUUGGCGA